CAGCAACGCCGCGUGAAGGAUGAAGUAUUUCGGUAUGUAAACUUCGAAAGAAUAGGAAGAAUUAAUGACGGUACUAUUUAUAAGGUCCGGCUAACUACGUGCCAGCAGCCGCGGUAAUACGUAGGGACCAAGCGUUGUUCGGAUUUACUGGGCGUAAAGGGCGCGUAGGCGGUGCGGUAAGUCACUUGUGAAAUCUCUGAGCUUAACUCAGAACGGCCAAGUGAUACUGCAGUACUAGAGUGCAGAAGGGGCAAUCAGAAUUCUUGGUGUAGCGGUGAAAUGCGUAGAUAUCAAGAGGAAUACCUGAGGUGAAGACGGGUUGCUAGGCUGACACUGACGCUGAGGCGCGAAAGCUAGGGGAGCAAACGGGAUUAGAUACCCCGGUAGUCCUAGCCCUAAACGAUGAAUACUUGGUGUCUGGAGUCUUUAAUGCUCCGGGUGCCGUCGCUAACGUUUUAAGUAUUCCGCCUGGGGAGUACGCUCGCAAGAGUGAAACUCAAAGGAAUUGACGGGG
rnacentral:rRNA from 1 species